rnacentral:rRNA from 1 species
UGAGGAACAUGACCUUCGGCGGGGGAUAGCCGGCCCAACGGCCGGGUAAUACCGCGUACAACCACAUGGGGACAUCCCUGAGUGGUGAAAGCAGCAAUGCGCCGAUGGAGUGCCUCGCGGCCUAUCAGCUAGUUGGUGAGGUAACGGCUCACCAAGGCGACGACGGGUAGCUGGUCUGAGAGGAUAGCCAGCCACAGUUGGGACUGAGACACCGGCCCAGACCUNUACCGGGGAGG